UCAUCUGAGCAGCCAGAGGUUUCUGGAACAAAAGAUGUGACCCUCAGGAGAAGAGGAAUGGGAUGGAUGAACAGUGCUGAGAACUUGCCUGGGGAAGGUUUCAUCAGGCUGUCGGCUCUCUUGAAAAGACAGUCAAGAGACUAUGGCGCAUGGGAUCCCACAUCCUUGAGCAAAAAGGGUAUACAGACAACUGAUGAAGACAUUUCAGGGGACCCAGAACGCAAAUUACUCAAUGCAGAAUACCUGGAUUAACUAGUAACUGCCAAGUCUCCCCUGCUCUUGUGGCUGUGUUAAUAGGACCAACACAUAUAAAGGCUUAGCAUUCUUAAGUUCCACACCAUAUUCCAGAGUCUGGCAGUGCUCCGAAGGAGAUGAUACUGUGAAACACAACUGCUU